rnacentral:rRNA from 1 species
GAGUUUGAUCCUGGUUCAGGACGAACGCUGGCGGCGUGCCUAACACAUGCAAGUCGAGCGGAGAUAUAUGGAAGGUUUACCGGAAAUAUAUUCUUAGCGGCGGACGGGUGAGUAACGCGUGGGCAACCUACCUCGUACAGGGGGAUAACACAGGGAAACUUGUGCUAAUACCGCAUGAAAUCAUAGUAUGGCAUCAUACAAUGAUCAAAGGAGUAAUCCGGUAUGAGAUGGGCCCGCGUCCGAUUAGCUAGUUGGUGGGGUAAAGGCCUACCAAGGCGACGAUCGGUAGCCGAACUGAGAGGUUGAUCGGCCACAUUGGGACUGAGACGCGGCCCAGACUCCUACGGGAGGCAGCAGUGGGGAAUAUUGCGCAAUGGGGGGAACCCUGACGCAGCAACGCCGCGUGAAGGAAGAAGGCCUUCGGGUUGUAAACUUCUUUGAUUGGGGACGAAUAAUGACGG